ensembl:lncRNA
GAGUUUCUAAAAGAUUAGGGUUGCAUUAUAUAUGUUCUGAUGGUAUUAAAAAAAAAUAGAAGGAAGCUAAACUAAAACGUUUUAAUCCAUGGAAAAUGGCUUUUCCCACACAUGCUUUGGACAGAUGUUGAAAUCGUGUCACAGUUUAGAAUGAGACUGAAUUAAUUUUUUUUCCUAAUGAAACAAUACUUUCAUUUUUACAUGGCAGUUAUACAAUUUCAGUUUGUUCAUCAUAGAAUCAUGGAAUGGCCUGGAUUAAAAAGGACCACAAUGAUCAUCCACUUUCAACCACCUUGCUAUGUGCAGGGUUGCCAACCACCAGACCAGCCUGCCCAGAGACUGGUUUACACUGAACGUAGAUUGUGGUCAAAAUUUAACAAUUGGAAAGGUCCCUUCCAACCCAAGCCAUUCUGUGAUUCUAUGAUUCUUCAGAAUAAUCUUCAAUGAGUUAGAUCCGACUGUGAUUGCUGCAAAACUUAGUCAGUUAUUUUUAUUACAUGAUCAGUUUUCCUCAAAGCCUGUCUUCUGGGUAGAUUUUAAUACAUCUAAAUACCUUAAUAUUGUUUUCUCAAAGGAGGAAAACAUUCUAACUCAUCCUAGGGAUUAUAAAAGUAGUAAUUUUCUCACAGCUGGCCCUUAAUACAGCUAAUAGCUCUUGGCGUCACCUUAGGAUGGUUAACAAGGCCAUCAUUAACUGUGGUUAAUGAAAAAGUAAUUAAACUUUUUAAAAUCUAAUCCUGGAUGACAAAUCAUUAUAAAUCGUGCCCUUGGUUAUUCGUGUCACUAAUGUGAAUAAAUGAGUUUUAAGGUCUAUGUAUGCAUAAAACAAAACUGUAAGCAAACAUAGCAUGAAUCCUGCUGGUUGUCAAUAGCUAUUUUUUUUCAAUCGCUUUUAAUACUUCUUAAAAUGUCCAUGACUUUGGGUGUAAUUUUUUGAAGAUUUAAGAAGAAACCUUAACAUUUUCUGUGAGAAUCCCAAAAUCUGCUCUGGGAUUAUCCUCACUGACUUGGAAGAUCAUCAGCCAAACUGUGGAGAUUUGAAAGACGGAGGGCAGAGGUAUUGCAAAUCUAGCAAGACACAGUUCAGCAAAGCAACCUAACUGGAUUUCAACUCUUAUAAGCUGUCAAUAGAAACAGGAGACAGUAAAUUAAUAUAUAUUUUUUUUUCUGUUUUGAGUGCGCCUAAGAGAACUCAAUAAAGAAAUAGAAAUAGGAUCAAUACAUUCUGUCUGAAAAUCAGUUUAGAAGGAGCCACGGUGUCUCAAGGAGGAAACACUAACUAGUUAAAAAGCCUUUCACAAAACAAGUUAGAAACCUUCUGGUAAAUCCUUUGGAUGUUUCAGACAUACUGGCAUUAACUCAUAACCACCCAAACACUUCCCAUAUACGAUCAGUCCUAUUUAUGGCUUUUAGGUCAUAGAAUCACAGGAUCAUGAAGGUUGGGAAAGACCUCUCCGAUCCCCAAGCACAACCCCAGCCCACUCCACCAUGCCCACUGCCCACGUCCCUCAGUGCCAUAUCCAAAAUGGUUCUGGAGCACCCUCAGGGAUGGUGACCCCACCGUUCUCUGGGCAGCCUGUGCCACUGCAUCACAGCUCUUUGAGAGAAGAAAUGUUUCCUAAUACCCAACCUGCUGUCAGGCUGAUACUGCCAAAACUCUUGUUAUUACCGGUAAAAUCUGCUUUGUGCUGUCAGAGCACCCUGAGGAGCUUGGAGGGCUGGAGCAGGGCACAGCCCUCUCCUCACACCUGGAGUUGGAGCUGCCUGGGACCACCAGCCCCAUCCAUCUCGUACAAUUUCCCUCAGAUCCCUGGGGGGGCUGCACACACAGAGCCUUUCUGCUGAUGAGAAGAGAGGAUUUCCUUUAAAGUAACUCCUUCACACAAUGAGUUCUCUGCCCUUUCUUCAGGUGCUCUCAGUACUACCCAGGCUAUUCCUACUCCUCCUCUGGGGCCAGAGGACGUGACCUGCUUUCACUUUCUCUUUUCUCAUCUUUCUCCCCCUCCCAUAAGACUGCAGUGUGCUCUCUUUACAUUACUCCAAGGCCAAGAACAGCCCACUCUGGCUCACCUUGUGAUUCCUCAGACCACUUCCCUCGGAGAUGCUCCAUCUGUACUCCGUGCAUUCAGAUCUGUCACGCUGCAGGGUCACCUCCUUUGUGUGUCACGUUGUCCCCUUGACCGGGGUGCAGUCAUGCUUUAAGGUAAAGGCCGUUCUCAGUGAACUUUAGAGACCUAGAAGUUACUUAUGUGCAAAAGUUAUUCCUGUCGUCAAAAGCAAACGUAUUUCCUGCUUAUCCUUACUGCUGAAAAAAGCCCAGAUUGAUUUAUUUUCAGAUUCAGAAAUCAGUUUUGCAAGCAUGAGAAUGUGUAAUAGAGCAAUUACGGGCAUUCCCCCAAAGCUGCAUUUAAAAAAACCUCCCAUGAGGAGCGUUUCAUGUAUUUGACUUGGAAAUGCUUUUAUUUUUAUAAAUUCCUUUUUUGGAAGAGUGAUGCAAUACUAUCCAUAACGCAUAGUAUUGCUUUGAGAGGUCGUGUUCUGCAGCCAGCAUUGCUGCUGCUUGUGAUGGGAAGGCACCGAGGCAGUGUGAGCAAACUUUCUUGGUGACAUUCACAGCUUUGUAAAAAAAAGACAUUUAAACUGAUGAUUUUUUUUUUCAGCUGUAAUUUGGAAAAACCCUAAGAUGUAAUUAAAUCUGGUCACAACAUUUCCGUGAUUGAAGUGAUGGAUAACAGAUAGGUUAUGCUUAUCCCUGAUGUAACAGCAUUGUAGCAAACACUCCGUUUAUUGCAUUAUAUACGAUAUCAAGCAACGUUAGUCAUUCACAUAAAUAGCUCUGGUCUGAUUGAGUUUGAUUCCUUAUUAGGGAGAGUUCCACAGUGCAGAGUGUUGUACCAGUAAUAUAACACAGAAAUUGCUUCUAGCAUGUGGAACGUGCAAUUAUAAUAAGCAAAUAUUUAACUCAAACCAUGCUCUUGGGAUCACAGUGUCAAUAACAGAUAUAAAAAAACUAAUUGUUUCAUCAGCCCGAGGCGCAUGAGAAGGGGCUGGAGCCAAGGUGGGCUGCCGGGGCUGCCCUGCACGUGGAGCUUAGCUUAUGGGAAGGUGAUGAUUAAGGUGAUCAUAAAUGCAGGCUGGGAUUUGUUUUAUGAUCAAGAUAUUGAACACCAAAUUAAUAAGCAUCAAGUUAUGACAGUAAUAAAUGGCAAUGGCAUGGGAAUGGCGGAAGGAAAAGCUCGGACUGUCAGGCAGCUGCUUGCACACAGGUGUAACUGCUGCCUGGCUGCUGCUCUGGGAAGGAAAAAUGAUUUCUUUGCGACUUUCCCUUUUGUAUCCCUUCAACUGGGACAGUCGAGACCCAAAGAAGCCCUGACACAAAAUAAAGCUAAGAGCCAGAUUUCUGCUCCUUCAGAGCCUUCUGCCUUUCCCAGCGAGCUGACUGGUGCUGCAACGUGCUGCUAUUCAUCAGCAUUUUCAAGCAGGAGACAGACUCGUGAACUCUCAUUUUCUAUGGGAGAUUUCUUCUGGAGCCGGUGUUGCCAAGUGGUGAUUAGAUAAGAUGACACCCUGGGAAAUUCAAGAUGGAAUAAAAGCCCGAGCGGGUAUGCAGCCGAGCUGCAAGGCUAUCAGUCCUUAUUGAAGGGGCCUUCAUCUGGGACAUUCAGAGGGGCUCUUUUAAAAGCACCAGCUCACUAAUGAAGCUUAAUGGUUCUGAAUUGAUGGUACCUUGCAGCAGAAGCUGCUUAGAUGCUUAAUAAUGGCAUAAUCAUCGUCCGUCAGCCAUUUGGUUGGCACAGAAUGCUUAUGCCUGCAUUGUUCCAUUUAAGAUAGAUAUAUUUACAUUUACUGACAUUGCAUACUUUCAUAUCAUAUCCCUCUACAUGUAUCACAAUAUCCUUUGUUUUGAAGGUGGGGCUGCAGGGAUUUGGAUCAACUAACAUCAUGGGAAAUUUAGGAUGAACCAGAACUGGUGUGCCUUAUAGAAGUAGAACUGUUUUUUUCUGCCCCAAUUCCAGUGCUCUUUUAUGGAAAUCUAUCAUCACUUUGUAAGAGUUUGUGUGUCAGAAUGAAUUGAGUCAUUAAUCGCAAAUACAUCAAGUGAGAUCUUGGAAUACAAGAUGUAUAUGAAUGCAUGUGAAAACUGUUGAAGGAACGAAAAGAACAGAUAAAAUGAGGCAGCAUAGCAAUGAAAAACAUCGAAUAGGAAAAGUAACAAAAGAAGAUGCUAAAAAAAAAAUCAAAGAAAAGGCAACUAUCAUAUACAGAUAAAGGGGAGACAUAGUUAGAAUUAAAUGCGAGAUAUUCCGUAUGCUUUUAAAUACAUCAGUUACAGAAAGCUGCCAUAAGAUGACAUUGUACUGCAUUAUACUAAGCACACAGAUUUUAUGGGCCUUGCACUCCCAACAUCUGAUGUAGAACAUAAGUCCAAGCACAGUGCUGUGCAGUGGAACUGAAGGAUAAGGACCAUUGGGAAGAUAUGCUCUUUCAGACUUUCAGGUACUACUGGAUUUAUUUCACAUUUCUGAAUGGAUUGCAUGAAAGUAAAUUUAAAAAAAAUAGAAAAAUAUAUGGCACAAAUAAUGGGAUAUUCAGAUGGAUAAAAGCACCGUUGGAUCCCAUACUACUCUACCAGUGACUUUGAUGGUGAUGUAAUCUCAGAGAAAGCACUGAAUCAUGCUAUCAAUUAACUUGAGUAACAAUGUAUAUACACAGGAAGUUUUGCAUAGCAGACAAAUUUUAGUAUUUUGUGAAAAAAAAAAUGGUGAAGUGAUUGGAGGAUAUCUGUUAAUUAGCCAUACAACUUUUUGAACAUUCACCUAAAGAGAACCAAGAACAGUGUUAGCAACAAUGUGAUACAAAAUAAUUAGCUUGUUUUCAGGGCUUAAAUAGUCAUUACUUUCUUGUGAAGUCCCUAAUUAAGCUAAUCCUAGUUUAUAAUACAUUAGCAACCACUCUUUAUGUGGAAGCUACUUCUUAGAGGAUAAAAAUAACUUCAAAGUUUGACAUGCUCAAAAACGUAUGCAAAAAUGUAGAGCUCGGGACAGGAGAAAUACAGACGAAGAAAUUCCUGAUUUAUUCCUUGCUGCCCACGUGCUGUUUGUUCACCUGAAGGCUGCAGAUACAACUGCUUAAAGGCUCCAGUGAAACAAUUUCCCCCUUUCUGCUCUGAAAGCCUGUUACCACGGUUUUCUUAGGAGGUCCUGCUAUAACAUUACCCAAUUAUUUCCUAAGAACCGCAAAGGUAUUCUUUCUCACUGACUCACGCUCUAAUAGAUGAAGGACUCAUUUUCAGUUUGCUAUUUGACUUCAGUCAAAGGAAAAGAGCUGAUAAUACGAAGUUAACGUAACACAAAGCACAAACCCUGGGCUGCAGAACACAGUGGGCUCUGACCCUUAUCCACAGAGAAAAAAAAACAAAAGUGAAGAGGUAGAAAUAAGCUCUGUUUUGGGACUGGGAGGCCUGCACCUAGCUGCUGCCAUUUGUUCACAGUGGGCAGAAUUAGUGUCUUUCUCCAGCUUUGUGCUUUGCUUGCUAAUUUACCCACGGUCAAGUGGAGGCAAUGUUGAGUUACAAAGCCCCCAAAGACAUGCAGGAGUAAGUUCAUUUUAUGCAAGGUGAUGGAAUCAGCUGAUGUGGCAAAACCCAGCGCCAUGUGGCCUCCCAGCUGAAAGGAAUGAUUGAUUGAAAAAACUGCUGAAAACUUGGCCAGUGAAUGCUUCAAGGAGAUCAACAUGAAGCAGGGAAGGCUGGCUCUCCCUGCCCCUCAGAAUUACCACAACAAGGAGCCACGUCUCCCAUUUAAAAACAGAGCGGAACCUCUCACUUAAAUAAUUUGUAGAAGCUUUGCUAUCAGUUUAUGCUCAGAAACUAAAAACUGGGAAAGAUAACCACAGUGAGCACGAAAACACCUGAGAUCGACUUUAUAUACAGCAAGCUGCAGGAUUUCUACAAAACUAUUUAUCCAAACAUCUCACUGAAACUUGGGGCUGCCUCACCGCGUCAUGUAAUAUUCUGUCUGUUCCCCCUGCACUUACAUUCCUGGUACGGUAUCAAUAUUUCACAAACUCUUCUUACAUGGGCUGUUUAAUAUGUUGUAAGAGGCAAAACAUACAUGGUAUACGUAAGAGAAAGAGAUUUCCUGCCAAAGAUAUUUAACAGACCUAUGCAACCUAGCAAGAGGCAUAAAUCAAAACACAAGGACAUGCAAUACAAACAGUGUGAUAAUGGUGUUCAGCGAUGUGGCUGUGUGUAUAUAUAAUGCUUAUUUCGAAUUGCCCUCUGCUCUAUUAGUCAGUGUUAGAGCUCCUGAGCAGCUGGAACUCGGCUCCUUCAGUCUGCCCAGCUGGAAUUCAAAUAGUCCUUAUUACACAUUAUGUACGUUCUCACUGUCUCAUGCUUUUUUUUUUUAUUUUUAUUUUUUAUUUUUAUUUUAUAUUUGAGCAGAGCACAUUGAAGUUAGAAAAGAUUAAGUGGAAUUAAACAUGGAUGCCAUUUUGCAGAGACAUUCCUCAGAAGACACGCUCUUUUUUUUUUUCCCCCUAGAUUCUCCUUUAGCUGUGUUAGAUCUGACUGCAAAUGACAAUCUGUACACAGGAACCAGGCAUUUAUAUCCCUAUCAUCACUUAUUAACUGUUGAUAUUGUUGCUGACAGUGUAGCGAUAAUAAUAGGGGUUCUUUCAACACCUGGCCUCAAGAUGUAGUUUAUGACAUUCAAAAAAUAUCUCAAUGGAGCUGACAGGUGAAGGCAUGUUCAGAGGCAAUUCACACCAGGAGCAGUAUAUAAGUGCCAUACAAAGCUGACUGUGACCUUGAGAAGUCUUUGCCAGCCCUUAGGAGCUGACUUAGGCAUUCAGAAGCAAAGUCAUUUUCUCUUAAUAAGGUAUCACUGUCUCCAUCUGUAAAUCACUCUACAGCGUCAGCGUGUUGUAGUUCGUGUAGCAAAAUGACUAAUAGGAAAUAAUAGUGUUGCAAUAGAGAGUAUAAGGAGAGCUGUGAUUUGAGUGAAAAACACACUACUGGAAAGCCAGCUGUUCCCACUUCCCUGACUAAUUGAAGGCAUGAAGUGAAUGCACUGAUGUGCUGAUUUCCUCCAACUUGCAUAAGAUGCGAGGUUCUUCGAAGAGGCAGUAGGCUUCUAAAUGGUUUGGGCCUGAAUAAUGGAAAAUACCUUCAGCUUCCAAAAUUAUUGUUUUACAGACAACUGGAUGUGAGCCUUUCAGCGAGUACAUCAUCUGCAGUGCAAAUAAAUGGAUCCUGUCUCCACAUCUGCAUUUACAUGGUGUGCAGCACCUGUAUUCAUACCGUGGUCCACCACAGCCAUCUACAGGUCAAUGCACAGGGAUUCCUCAGCAGACACAGAUAUUUCAAUGGGAGAAGAUUGCUGUGAAGACCUGAAAAUUACUGAUGUAGUCUAAAGCAAGCCUAAUCUCUCCAGUAAAUUCACAUUCAUGGGACUUGAAAAGCAAUGAGUUGGGAGGGACCUUGGCUAGACAAGGGACAUCCAAGAUGUGGCCAAACGAGAAAUGGCAUCAGGAUGGUAUACAACUAUUUCUAUGUCCUGUGUUAAGACUGGAAAAACCAGCAGAUUAAUUCGUUUCCCCGUAAUUAAAUAAACAACACUCUCUACGUGGCUAUAUAGAAUAAACUAAAAUGAAGAAAGAACGUGUUGCGGAAAAUAUGGAGAAGUACAACUAGAGAAGUGCAACGUACUUCAGCAGAAUCCAGGUUGCAUCAUGUUGUGCUCCACUACAUCAUGUUAGUAUAUAUGGCGGAGAAGGCAAAAUGCAGUAACAGGAUGUGACAGACAACACUUAGCAAAAAUAUUCACUUAUUUGACUCAGAUACUUGCUAUCAGUUUGAAUUGGGAUACAUGGUACCAAGCAAAGCUGACAGAUAGAAGCAAACUCAGCAAGGAACUCACCCCACGUAGAUCCAAAAGCUUCUUGUCUCAUACCCAGUACUCGCUCUCCUGGUGGUCACUGCUCUCCUCAGCUCUCCUCCUCACCAUUCCUUUCCUUGAUGUAAGUAGUUCUACCAGCUGGUUGUUGUUUCUUUUGAUAUAACACAUGAGCUCCCCAUGUGGGACUAAUCGCAUCCUGUUGUACUUAACGAGUUCCCUUAAAUGACAGUUGACGGAAAUGCCAUAAAUCAUUUUUAUAUGAGUGAAAUUGUGAAUUACACACAAAAAAAGAGUGCCUGGGCACUGUGCAUUUAUGUAUACAGAGGGACUAUUUCAGUUAACAAGAAGCUUAUUCUUGAAGGCACCUAUAUUUUAUACUGUGGCAAAGUCUUUCUGACAGACUUAAAAAUAUUGAGGGUCCUUUAUUGCUCUUGGAGGAAAUAUUUCAUGGCAAUACUUCUGAAAAAGGUUUAGCAAAGUAGUGAAUGCUCAUGUAAGUGAAUCAAGUAAUCCCCCAUAACAAGGCAGCUGAGGAGCAGGCCUUUCUUCACAAGAGUUUCCAAAAGCACUGAUCCUGACCUGGAUGAGGACUUCCAACCCACAGAGCACCUCUUGGACAGCCUUCAAACCAUGACGUGUUCUGUACAAUCUGUCCUAGCAGGAAUUAGGAUGGGAGAACUUCAUGCCAAGUAUCAACAGUGCCAGCAAAGGUGGCUCAAUGGCCUAAGGCCAAGCUGCUGAAGUGUGAGGAAAUUUGCACACGGACAUGAAGACUUCCCUCUUUCAAGAGGUGGAGCCAAAGAAAUAGGCCAAGCUACCAAGUGUAGUAUCUGUAUCUCACCAAUACAGACCCAAUCCAGUCAAUCGCAUGGCUACAACUUGAUGGAAAGGAAUAAGGAGAUACCAAUGAUUUGUAGGAUCAUGAAAAGAAAGCAAUGCAUGUCAAAACUUAAGUUUGUAUGAUGGCAGCAGGGUGCAAGAUCCUUUGCUUCGUAGAGGGAAUUAAUUAGAACACAGAGGGAAGUGAUUAAAUGAUGCACUCAAGUAAUACACACACCCAUUUCAUGGCCUAGCACUUUCCUGCUUGUUCACACAUGUAUCAUCUCAUCAGAGCCCUAAAGGAAAGCAGUGGAGGACCACAGCAGCCCAAAAUAGGCUCUCCAAAAUGCCACAAACAGGGGGCUUCUCCUAGCAGCAGGGGACAGCUGAGAUGAACAAGGCUUUAUACAAGUGUUAGGGAAUAGAACAGAAAUAAAAGGACCCAUUCUUCACAAAGCCCACACACUUCCUGAGAAGCUGCUCAGCAAUGAGGAGGCCAUACUGGCUGCCAUGUCCUGGGGUAAUUCCUUUGGUGUGGUCCUGGACUGUGAUGAGAUCCAGGAGAAUUGGAAAGGUCAAUGGGAGGUGGGAGGACAGAGAGAGCAACACUGGGGGAGGCUGGAAGUGGCUGGGGUGCUGAUAUGAAGCCAUGAGUACGUUAAACUUGGUGUCCUCAUCCAGAACACAGCCCUUACCCAGUAAGCAUGCUCUGUGGUGUGUGCAUCUCUCUCUUGUGCUCAGUCUGGGUUGGAUCCUUCACCAGCCCAUUUCUCAUGUGCCAUAAUGCACACAGAAAUGCUGCUCCUUGUGCUUGAUCACACUGCUCCUUUGGUGGCUUUAAUUAAAGGGUUUCUGCCCAUCAGUGUCUGCAGAGGCCUCUUACCUUGUGCUUGCUUUUGGAGCCUGGUCCUGGGCACAGCAGUACCGAGUGAAAAACCAUCCUCUGAGCAAGUGCUCUAUCCUCGUCUUACCUGCUGAAAAAGAAUUAAAAAAUGAUUAAAUAAUUAAUACUGGGUGUUGCUUAACACUUGUUAAGAGUCUUAGUUAAUAAUUUUCUGAAGCUUUUUUUUUUCUCUAAUUUGGGAAUAAAACAGAUAUAAUUGAGCAUGUCAUUCCAAAGCAGCAAAUAACACUGUGCAGAGAAUUGAAGGAAACAUGUUUCUUUGAUUAGGAUGUUUUUCUCAUUAACAGGAUGUUCAAAAUAAAGCAAAAAUAUUUGAUGCACAGAGCCGGUGGCAGUAUCAAGUUAACGCUGGCGUGCUCCUGCAUUUUACCUCAUGUUUACUAAUCAAUCAGAAAGGGCUCUUGCUGCCAAGAAAGGUCACAUCUUUCAUCACAAAACUGAAACUCUUUGACAACAAACAAUCAGAACUUCACUGCUCUGUUUAAUGUGGAUUCCAGCACAGAAGACCCAGGCUGUGGGAUGGUGGGUGUGGGAUGAUGGGAACGUGCAGAGCUAUGAUUCUCAAAUGUUUGUUACUCCCUACUGUGAGUCUGGAUGUCACAAGCAAAAAUGUGCAUGUGUUAAAAGCUCUUGAAAGAGCUGGGGUGUAAUUGGCUGAACAUGAACGCUGUUUUUGCUAUUUUCUUUUCCCUCUGCUGGCUGCCUAGGCAUUAGCAUCUCCAAGGAGUCUUCUGGGCAGUGACAAUAGUGGGAUGCAGACCCAAGCUGGCCUGGAUUUACACCCUUGGUCCCCUGGAGAAAUCAUUGGUAUGAAAAGAUGCACAUGUUACUGGCAGCUAUAGCACAUAUUGCAUGGCAUGACACACACAUAAGUGAGAUUAAUAUGAGUUCUGGGCAUCAUCAGCUCAAUUAAAACUGUGAUUUUUUAGUUCAGACCUACAGGCCAUUGCAGAGAAGAGUAAUCAUAAGGCAGAAAUGAGUUCCCUAGUUAAAAAUUAAUUCCCUAGACUAAAAAUAUAAUCAAAUGAUGUCUACAGUAUUUUAUGAAGAGCUGAGAGGAUAAUAAAAUUUAGAGCAGUGCAACAUUUGCAUUUUGUUCAUUUCUAUCCAUAUUUUUCCACACACUGCCUUUCUCUGUGCUUGUUAAUCACAUGCACUGCUACAGCCCUGGCAUUUUAAGAUCACUCUUCACAUCGAGAUUGAAAGGAAACUAAUUACAAUUACAUUUCAGGGUGGUUGUUUAAAGCUGGUACAGCAUUGAAUACAGCAGAGGAGCCUUGACCUUUAUUUGUAAGCAUGGAAAUAAGGUAAGGAUGAAAGAUUGCUUUUCCUCCAGCUCAUAGGCAGGGAUCAGGAGGCCCUCCAGAGAAGCAGGGAGGUGGAAAGUCCCCAUUCAAUUUCUCUCCUCGCCUCCUUUCCCGUGCUGGCAGCAGAGGCCAGUAGUGCUAUGCAGAAGCCGUGCUCUACGGCAGCGAGAGGUGAAGGGAAGAAUCGCACAUGUUGCAGCUCCCUCGGGCUGCUGGAAGUAUAAGCAGUGAAUCAGCAGGGCUGAGGACCUGGCUGUUUUGACCCCAGCCCAGCUCUUUUUAGUCAAUUAGUUUAAGGCAAAUCCUUCCCUGGGGCUGGACACAGACACAAGCUCACCUGGUGCUUCAUGCUGUGCUGAUGCAACGAUGUAAGGUAUCGAUGUUCAUGGGCUACCUGAGGGCAAGAGUUGUGAGUGGUGCUGCAAUCUCUGCUGCUCGCAUUAUGACUCAGUGGUACCAAUAGGAUCUGUGUAGUGCAUCAGGGGAAGAAAGAGGACCCCUAACCCGAGGAAAUACAGGUAAUCUUAGAAUAGUCUUAUUUCCAUUAAAAGUGAUUUCAUCUAGAGUGUGCUGAGUGGCAAAUUUACCCAGGAGGUUUAACUUGCUUCUCUGUCUUCACAUUUUCAGAAGUUUAAUUUUAGUAAAUUUGUACUGUGCUCAAAAUAAACCAAGAGGUAGUUCCACAAACGGGUUCAAAUGCAGGAACUGCUGUUGUGAUGGAGCUCUGGAUGUCCCUUUCAGUACCAUCACCUGGCAUUUGAAAGCUUGUCAUGGUGCGUAUCAACCCUCAGGAGAUCUUCUGAUCUCCCCACGUUAUCACAGCUUCACACUGAAGUGGGUUCAUUGGAGAUACAGCACUGAAUGCAUUCUGCAUGCCAGACCCACAAAAUGUAGGCAGCGAUUGUACUGCUUCUUGUACGUGGUGCUGCAUUCACCCUACACAGUCAUUCCAUUCGCCAGCCCCCCUUUUCUGGCAGAAGUCAUUGCUGGAUCCCUGAAGUCCAGUGAAUUUGAAGAUCCACCAGGUCAUUAUCAUCUGUGGGCUGGAAAAGCUUCUUUUUGGAUAUUAAACAAUUAAAAGAGGGAAACCCUCCCCACACAAACCCAUCCCACAGCUCCCAACCUCCAUAGGCACAGCGCUGGCCUACCCAGCUGGCAGAGGGCCACGCUGUGUUGAGGGCGCAAACUUGGGUGAGGAUGCUGAGGAUCUGGUUGCCACUUCAGCCAAGAAAUGAAGAAGGAUUCACAGCACUUCUGUGGUGCAUUCUGGGUCUGUCUGCAUUUUCCAAGCAAAAAUUUAAUCAUGCAAAUAUUUACAGAAAUUUGAGAAAAAAAUAAAGACCAGUGAAAGCCGCCGCAGUGAACUUCUAAUUACAAAUCCACCAAGUGUUUAUGAAUAAAUUUAUCUAUUAUUUGUCUUGCUCUAGCACUGCGCAUACUUUGCCUUGUACCAUUACAGUCUGAAGGAAACAAUAUGCGGCAUGAAAAUGAAAACAAUUUGACUUAAUUAUUUAUACUAUUACCACCCUUUUGAAUUAAGCCCUCUAUUUCUUUGGUAUUUUGUAAAAUUUAACUGGUAAUUAUGCUUGUUUAAUUCAUUUAUUUCUCUAUUAAAAAAAAAAAAAGAAAAGAAAAAACCCUACCAGAAUGCAAAGUGCCACUGUGUUCUCAAAUUAUAAAUGAUUCUUUUAAGCUUUUAUGACAAAAAAAAAAUGUAGUAUUUUCUAUCACUUUGUUUAAAGCGUGUCUGGCUACGCUCCAACACUAUUUAAGUAUAAACAGGAAAAGCCUUGGAGGACAAGUAAUCAUACUUAAAUGACACAAAGAUCAUUAAAAUAAUGCUCAAAAACCACGGCAAAAUGAGACAUUGCAAGGCUGUUUUCUUCCUUGGAGUGUUUCACCAGAUGGUGAAGAGUGCUGAAAUAGAUUCGAGAGAGAAGCAAAGAGCAUUUCAUCAGCUGUCUCACACCAGUGCCGUGCAGCGCACACAGCCCUCAUCUGAGCUGGUGUGAAGUGGCAUCUCCUACCUCAGCCUCACCCAGCACUGAGAUAGGGAGAACACCGAGGUGCUGGAAUGAAGCUGUGCUGAAUCAUGGCCUGGGAAAUCCCUGCUUUGUCCUAUGGAAGUCACCGAGCAGAUUUAUUCGGAGAUGAGAACAAAUGAGCACGUCAGCAGAAGUUAUUGUGGCAAUUUGUGAAAGCCUUAAUGGAAUGUUUUCUGAGCUCACAGAGAAGAGCUGUGCCAUUAAAUUGCUGCACAAUAAUUUUACUUUGAUACUGGAAAGGCAUUUUGUUUUUUUUUUAAUCAGAAAUGACAGCCUAUAUCAGUGGUGACGCGUCAGCUACUGGUGUUUAAAUACAAGGGUCUCAGAAGUCAAUCUUCACUCACAUAAAGGAAAAAAAAUCAUGUUUCUAUACAUAUAGUUGCUGUAUGAAAUAUCUAAAAGUGAGAUACCUUUGCACUUUUAUCAGUGUCUCCAUUCUUGGCUGAAGAACUUUACAAAGACCUGUGGGAUUUGUAUUUCUUCCAAUGACAUUACCUUUUUGCAAACUUUGUCAGAAAUAUCAACAUAAUUUCUAAUUAUUAAUAAUAAUAAUAAAACUCUCUUAAAUUUUGUAGCUUAAAUAUAUACUGGAAAUCCUUUCCUCUUGGCUAGAGGCUUCUACUUUUAGGAACGUUGGUGAUCAAAAUGAGUGCUACUCAUCCAUCUGCGUUCUCCUGAACGUUUAAUCUCUGCAUUACAUGUAUUUUGUGGAAUCCUUAAAUGUACAAGACAAAGUAUUUGGAGGUCCUGAAAUCUUCACUGGGUUCUGCUAGCCUGUUACCAACCUGGCUCUUCCUAGAUCCCAAUGGAAAGGCCUGCUGUGCUCUAGGAGGUGGCCUUAACUGUACCAGAGCUGCAAAACCACAAUAGGCAGAAGAGGUGCCCUCUGAAAGAGAGGAUUUCAUAUCAGCUGAGUACAAGCGGCUGAGCCAAGCAGUUGGCAGAAGGAUGUCAGUGUAUUUCCAAGCUCCCUACCUUCCAGAAAGGUUGGGUUUCUCAACUGCUUCCUAACCAACAUGCCUGGCAAAUCCAGAUCCACAGGAAAACUCAUCUUUUGUAGAUAAAUCAGCCUGAAAUGGAAGGUGACUUCAUUUCCAAUUGGCAGGCAUUCUGGUUCCAUGCUGUGCAAGGAAACAGCCUCUCUAUAUUACAAGUGUCUUUGCAAUGAGUAAUCCUGAUGUCCUAAUAACAUCUUAUGCACAGCUCUUGAUAUACUUCCAUUAUAUAGAUCUAGAAACAAAAAAUGAAAUAAAAUCCCCCAACACUAUCAAUAUCUCCACAUUCAACGGGUGCUCAGAAGAGGACCUUGCAAACUGGAAAGGAUGAAUUUAAUUUUUGCAGUUCUUUUGCAAAGACCAGUUUGCAUCCAGCUUAUGCACUUAAGUAAAAAGCUUGUGUGUGGAGAGUUCUCACCAGUCUGUGUUAAAUGAGUUGCUGAUUUUAGCCCCCUUCCUUGAAGACAGCUGACCAUUAGAUACACGGAUACUGUAGGUGACAUUAACUCUGCCAUCAUCCUCAGGCAGCGGCACUGGGUCAGGAUGCAGAGUGUCCCAAAAUAUUACAAAUGGACUGUACCUCCAAAUGGCUGUGAUUGAUCCUCAAUGUUAUUUCCAAGCCAAAUAAUCUGGGAAAUCUGGGUGUUGGGAGCAAUUUGUGCCUCAGUUUCUCAUCUGUAAAACAGCAAUACAAGGACAUUUGGAAAACUUAUUUUUUUGCCCUAAAAUGGAUUCUUUUAUUUCUAGAAGGGUCCUUGGAGGAAUAUCAGGUCUUUCUGAUAGUUAUUUUCCAAAGAAAACCUAGCAAGAGCUGAUAGUUUCUGUCUUCAGCCAGGAAGCGGCUUUCUUCCUUGGUUUUAACUUAGUUAUGCCACCUGAACAGUGGCACGGAGGCCUCAAUGAGGAUCCUUGCUUUAUACUCAGAGAAGUCUCUGCGUUUGCACUGACUGCCAGAAGCUGCAGAUCUGGGGACUACAGCGCCAGUGAGGAGUUCUUCAAACUUGGCAAGAGUCCCAUUGUACAUUUAUUUUAUAUUCUACCUAAAUUCCAGGCAAAAUACCAUUUCUUGUACUUAAAUACUAAUGGUUUUGAGAGACGAUAAAAGCUUGAAUCAUACAGCAGGCAUAUCGAAUUCAAAUCUUUGAACGUGUUAUGCUGCUGAGAGCUCUGUCCCCAGUAGCCGGCAGAGGUUGCUCUGAUGUUAAUGAUUAAUCAGGGAACUUAUUUUCAGUAAUAAAGCACAAAUAUUUAAAUGAUUAAAUGACCUACGAGCCAGCAUUAUGAGGAAUGUGUUACAUGUGAGCAGCCUGCAAAGCAGCACUUCCCAGCUCAUGGACAACACACUGCCCGCUGAGCAAUGCCAGCACCUCUCUUGGCCACUACUGCUUCUCAGGAGGUGGUGGAAACUGGGAUUCCUCCUUGAGUAUAUAAACUGUGUCACGCCAGCCUUUAAAAAUCAGGUUGCUUUUUUUUUUUUUUUUUCUCCAGUGAGGAGUCCUGUUGAUUUUAAUUGGAUACUUGAGUUAAAAUAAGAGAUACAGCUUCUUUGCAUUUAUUUACUGAGUCUUUUUUUUUUUUCACUUUUCCAGCUAUUAAUUUCCUUAAAUGUAAAGUGACAUCUUUAAAAUGAAAAUGGCUUAUUGCUUGCCAGGAGCAAAGCCUGCCUAAUUUAAGAAAUCCAGAAUUAAAGCUUUUGAAGCAUAUCAGGGAGUGUUUAUACAACAAUUAUUGCAAACAUCAGCCUUGCUCAUUGCAGCCUCUUCAGGCCACCACCAAUGCCUCUAACUUCAUUGCCAACCUUCCCCACCCCAAGAUGUUUCAUCAGUUGCAUAAAAUCAGGUCAUUCUAUGAUUUUAUCCUUCUUAUCACCCCCCAAGCACUCAAACCCAAACCCAACCAACAAAUUGUUUAAAAUUAAGUAGUAGACUCAUUAUUAAUAACUGAUAGCAGAUGAAGGAGUGCAGUGACCUCUCCAACAGAGCAUUUAAAUCUUUGCACUACACGCUCUGCUUGUGCUAGGCUGGUUUCACAAACAACAGCUGUGUAGUUCGUUAGCAUAUGAAUCCCUCUGAGGUAAUUUGGAGGAGGCAAAUGUGCUAAACUAAACACCUCAUUAAAGCAGCACUUUAAAAAACAAAACAACAACAACAAAAAAUUUCCACCCAAGCCCCAAACUAAUUUCGUGUUCCACUUUUGCUUGUGGAGGUGCUUGGUGGUGAAUAUUCUGUUGUAUGGAAUUCAUUCAUCUGGGUUGCUGGAAAUAGGGGGUUUUUAAAUCACUAAUACGGGCUUUUCUCAGCUAAGAUGCACUUGAGACUAAAGUGUCUUUGAAGAGUGUUCUGUCACAAAGAAGCAAUUAACUGAGGACAAUAAUGUUUUCUUUUUCUCCCAGUCACUAAGCUGAACUCAUGGGCCCCAGGAUUGUACUCAAAUAGCAGGACCUGUUUCUGCUGGGGCUGAAGAGUGAGUGGAUGAGGCCAAAGGCUCUUGGUGGUCCCCAAGAGCAUAUCUGCAGAGGGUUUUGGAUGGGGCCAAGAAGAAGUGCUCACAAGUGUCCCCAGGACCACUGCAUCCCCCAGGAGAAUCUUGCAGAUAUUUUCAGGAAAUUCCUUUAUAACAAAUACGGCUACCAGAGGAACUGGUUGCAAGUCCAGGCAAUGAUGUAGGACAUUCAUGAUGGUACUAGCGUUGCUCUUCCUUCCCUUGGUCACACAGGCUGCAGGGUACUCAAACUUCAGUCCUAUUUUGGCACCACAAACAACUUUUUAUCCUACUUCAUCUCUACUAAUUUAUUAAAUCCUGAGUGAGACUGCAAGUCCAUUAAAAUAUUUAAAUGCUGUUUCACAUUUUGAUAAUGAUUUAAAAAACAAAUAAUGGGGAACUUUUUGUUCUUAGAAUCUUAUGGAACAACAGCACUUAUUCUAGCAGAAAAUGACAUUCUAAAUCUGAAUGGAUAACCUUUGCCCAGUGAGGUUGUGCAUGCCCCCGCCCUGGAAGCAUUCAAGCCAGGUUGGAUGGGAUUUUGAGUAACCUGGUGUAGAGGGAGGUGUCCCUGCUAUAAGAGGGGGGUUGGAACUAGAUGAUCUUAAAGGCCCCUUCCAACCCAAACUAUUCUAUGAAGUUAAAACAUUAGACCUGCUGGAUUGUGUGGUUUCAUCCAAAAAGCUCAUCUUACUGUUUCAUCCCAAUCUAUUUCAUUUUUCACAUGUCAGAUAAGACGUUAAGAAGCUAGAAGUGGUAGUUUAGAACUACCAUAACAAUGAUUUAACAUGGAUAAAUGCAACAUAAACUGUACAACGUCGUCAUGUAUGUAUACUCCAUAGUUUCUAUCUUCUCUUUUGAAUGUUUUGAUCCUGAAACAAAAGUAGGGAAUCUGAGUUUUGGGAGGAGUAAAAAGUAUCCCUGACCUACAAUCUUAUUUUCAAAGCAUGGCUUGGUAACCUCUUGGAAUUUCCUCAAGGUUUUGUAAAUAUUCUGCUGAGUUCUUUCAAGGUGUUAAUAUGUCAUCCAAAAACCAGAAAGUACUAUUUAUUCUCCACAGGACUCAAUCCAUUCUUCUUCGAAAUCCUGCAGGUAACCAGCUCCCCCCUAGGGUAAUCUCUCAUACUUCAGUAGGCACAUAAGUAUGUGUUAAUUUAGUCAGAAUUAGUGUUUCUUCUCCUUUCCUUCUCCCCUUCCCUUUCCACUUUUCCUGCUCUCUUUCCUUUUUUUCCUCCCCUUCCUUUUCCCUUUCCUUUCCUUAAAUUUUGUUUGCUAUGUUGCUGCCAGGCUUUGGACAAGUGAAGCCUGAAAAAAUCUAUUCCCUCUCUCAGUUUUGUAGGUAAACCCAUGGCUUGGGGAUUUUUAUAGGCACACUGAAUACAGAACUUCUACAUGUAAAAUUAUAUCCACAUUUUCAUCCCCUGUCCAUGUUUUCCUUGCAUGUUUUCAGUGCAAUUAUAUCUUUAAUAAUGGUGUAAUUGCAGAAAUCUUGCAGAAAAUACAAGACUUUAAGCAUUGCAACUGCAAUGUAGAUUUUUAUACUACAGAUUUAUUGGUGAAUAUUUUCUGUUGCAUUUGCAUAAAUACUAUUCCAGAAUAACAAGGUUUCAAAAUAUUUCUCUGUUUCAUUUAACUGGAAGGUCUGUGAUAUAGAGUUAUUUCAGAGAAUCAUAGGAUGUCUUGAGUUGGAAGGGACCCCAAGGAUCAUCAAGCUCCAACCACCCUGCCGCAGGCAGGGCUGCUAACCUCCAUAUCUAAUACUAGACCAGGCUGCCCAGGGCCCCAUCCAACCUGGCCUUGCACACCUCCAGGGAUUUCAUCUAAGAAUGCUUGUUUUUUAUUAUAUCUCUCUUUCAUUAUUACUUUUUUUUUUUUUUUUUAUGAAUAUAGUCCCCAGAAAACAGAUACAGACGACAAUAGUGAUCUUUGUGAAGAAGCAGCUUUGAAGCCCCCUUUACUUACCAGAAAACUAUCAUUCCAGAUCCUAAUAAAGCUCAGAGAUUCAGCUGAGCUCGCUGUACUGCAGCAAGCUUAAAUCACAGCUGAAGUGAAAAGAGAGAUUCAGAUUAUGUACUUCCAGAGAAGUGCCCAAGCUCACAGCAGUAAAUAAACACACCUACAAGAGAGAACAGUUUUUCUCCACUCAGCGUAUCCCCAGAUUUCCUUCUUCACUGCUACGUUACCCAUGUGGCAGAUCAGGGCAGAAUCACAAAAAAUUCCUACAUUUUUCUUGUGCCAUAAUAUCACCUCCACUUAUUCCUGUACCUGAUCACUUGUGAUUAAGGCCGAUGAGGAAGACUAGUUUCAAGGGAUGCAGAAAGUUUAGUCGUCCACACAAAACCAUAACGACUCUUCAUUUGUUUUAUACCCCAAGGACAGAUUUCUGCCUGUAGUCAGCAGCACUGAAGCACAUCUUACUCUCAACUGAUGGACUAAUCUGACUCUCUGAGCUACCUUGCCUUGCUCUGAAAACUGAGAUUGCAUGGGAAGAGUUUCUACCAUCUCCUGUACUUAACCAUGAUUCUCCCAACUCAUGUCACACCAAAUUUAACCGUCAACUCUAAGUAAAAUGGAUUAAAAGUCUCCAGAGAGUGAUGAUCUUCCAGAGGGAGAGGCUCCAGUGACUUUUGGAUUGCCAAAAAGAUGAAGACUUUUUUUGCCUCUUAUGAAAUUUGAAAAGAUCACCACUUUAUCUUAGGGCCAGGUCGUUUAAUUACAACGAUUUACCACUGAUAUUAAAACCAAACGUGAUAAUUAUUAAGAAAUAACUAACAAUUAAUAAAUGUAUUUUUAAAAUAACUAUGACCUUUCACCUUACAGAUCCAGAUUUAAUUAUUGGAAUACUUCCAUCUUUAGAAGAUUAAAAAUAUCAUUUUUCUGGUAGUCAGUAAGAUCCACUGUAUUGCCCAUAAAGAGCCAUGUCUCUGUUACUCAUUAAAUAGAAGUUUUAAAGAGUUUUUAAUUAAGGGAUGAACAAGUAAAUUCAGCCCAUAAGACAAGCAGGACAUGUAUAUGUGGAAUAAAACAAUAAAUAAAGAGAGGAUUAAAUACUUCCAAGUUGUUCAAUGAUGAAUUAAACAAAAGUCCAAAUACAAGAUUUCCUCACCCUUCCUGCUCAAGAUUUAUACCACUAAUCAGCCAAGUUUCAAAUCCUUAAUACAGUAAAGCAUUUGCCUUUAAGGCAGCAGCAAUUCAAGAUUGCUAGCAAAAUGAAUGUAUUUCCAUUAGGCAAAAUAAUUAGGUCAUAUAUUCUAACAGUAUCUUUGGACUUAAAUCUCUUUGGUGAAGGGAACUGUCAAUCACCUACAAUUCGAUCAACAAUCUUGGCCAGAAACCACCCCAUAUGUGGAAAGAAAAUUACAAGUGACUUUUCUGUCCCUUGCAUUUAUUCAAGGUCAUUCAUAAAAAAUAACAGUGAAAUGACAGGUUACAUUUUGUCCUACAAAUCUGGUGCUUUUUGAGGAAUAUAUUUGAAUACUACUUUAUGUUUAUUAAAGCCAGUAUGAGUACCUAUGCAAAUUAAAACUCUUCAAAUCUCCACAUCAGAAUGAACUCAUGCAUUUUAGUACAACUUUUCAGGGUGUUGCAGGUUUGUAACUGUGAGCACAGUAAAUCUUUACAGUCCAUGAUUACUUGGUUGUUGACUUUGAAGCCCUCAGUGCACAAGAGAUAUGCUUACAGAACAAACACUGAGCAUUUCUGCUUGGGCAUGCUUCAGAAUCCUUCCCUAGACAGAAGCUUAGCAGAAAGGGAGGGGAUCCAUUUAUUGCCUGGCUGGUGGGAUGGGGCAUUUGAAAAGACAAGGUGUGCCUAAUUGAACAGAAAUUUACAAUUACCUAGAAUAAAACCCCACCUCAUGCAACUAGGCACUUUAAAAUGUAUAGCUGUUUAUAUGCUUCUGCACAGCUCACUUGGAGAGUGAGCCUCAAUCCUUUAGACACUUGGGCUCAUUUUGCCACAUUUAUAAACCAUGUCAGGGGGUUGUAGCUAAUUAGGACCUGGCCUUGCAUCUCAUCAGAGGAUAUCACCUGCCGGUGACCCCCAAGCACCACUCUGAGCACCAGUGGUGUUGGGGUGAGAUCUGAAUGGCACACAUGAGAAGGGAAGUAUGAGGGAGGGCUGAGAAAACAUGCAGAACCACUGAUUUCUGUACAGGCCUCUGUGCACAGAGUGGCCAAUUAGCUAAUCACUAUUUUGCCUUCCUAUCAGAGCGGUAAAUGGAGUCACUGCAGAAUUGCUGGUGAAUAAGCCAAUGAGCACAGCUGAGCCACUGACGGACACUGAACUCUCAAAUAUCAGGGUCAUAAAACAAGGUUUUACCUUGGCUGUUGCGGUUGUAAAGCGCUGUUUGAAGAUGGCAAAUCCCCCUCUUGUUGCUGUCACAGUUCUGUUCUUCCGAUCUUCAAAUUGCAGCCUGCACAUCACCCUCCUGUGCAAGUCCAUAGGCCAUGACCCACAGCUGCUUCUGCAGUCCCACUGCUAUAGCUGCAUCAAGUAGGAAUACCAUAGGAGAUUAAUAUAACCAUAAUCACAUCUGUAAUUGCCCAUACAGGCUUGGUUAAAGCUAAUAACAGUGUGCCUACCUCUGGUGAAAUCACAUCUUCAUUUUCCUGCAGAGGCACACUUGGACAUAUUCGUACAACGAAGUCCUGGGGUGUGGGCUGCUUUGCAACAUAGAGCUGUGCUAGGUAGAAUGAUCAGUGAGCAAAAAAGAAUGCAUAAGGAAAAUCCAUCAUGUGCUCUAUCAAGUUAUCAGGAGAUUUGUGCAGAAAAGCAAACCCGUGAUGUGGCCUCCCCAUCUAGCUCUGGACUAUUUACCCUGCUGAUGAGAAAAGGCUAUUAAAUACAGAGCCUGAUAUUCUGUUACUAAUAGGGAUCCCACUUAUCUAAUUGAAAGGAAAUUGUGGGAAAGCACCACUAGAGGUCACUCAAAAUUAAUUGUUACCCAAUUAGCACAAUUUGACCCUAAAGUUCAAGACGCUCUACAGCUUUCUUGUUUAAAGUACUAUCAAUUUUGACUCUUGACUGUGAGAAAACUCAGAACAGUUGGAGACAGAAAAUGUUUUAUCAGUUCUCCCCUCAUUCAAAGGUUCCUAAAUUAGCUUUGCCUUUCUCUCUGCCAGCAGCAAAUCAUUUCUUCCUCAGCAAUGAGCUUACAGAUGCUGGCAGUGAUGGACCUCUAGAAGCAUUGUUUUUAGAGGAAUUCAGACCUAGCUGUGUUAUCUCAAGCACCUGGUCACCCAUUUUGAAAAUUAGACCAAAAUGAAUUGUACAAGUGAGGGAAUAUAUAGGAAAACAACAACAACAACAACAACAACAAAAACCAACAAAAACCUUUCCAGGAUAAAAGCCUUUUCUUUUUUUUUUUUUCUUUUUUUUUUUUUAGAUAUACAUAUACAUAGAAAAUUAUAACCACUGUUGCAUGGAAGAAUGAGUACAUGUUUUUAUAACAACUGCUUGACUAAGUAAAAGAGGUUAAAAGCAAAGUUAAAGUUUGAUUAAUGGGUAUGUGUUGAAAUAUCUCUGCGUGUAUUUAAUUAAAAGCAGAUGUUCUAUUUGCAGGGCUUUUGCCACAAUCUGUGGUAAUGAUGAUAGCAAUUUAUUUGCCAAACCCAACAGGAAAAGAAAUAUCUAAUUAGUGUGCUCUAUAAGAUUAAGCCUACUAACCACUGGUGCACAUGCAUACAUCUCCUGAUGUUAUCAGGAGUCCUCCCAGUGCUCAGUAUGUAAUUCAUGGUCCUACAUAGACCAGAGUGAGGAAACAUUCCCUUCCAGUGCAGCUUGGUGUGGGAAAACUCAUGGGCAGCCACACUUCCAUGAAUGAUGCUCUAUCAGUGCUCUUAUUUCAUUCCUCAUUUCAGGUUACUGAUGAUCCUCUUAUUCUCCCCACCCCUCACUUUCAGCUUAAUGGAUAAAGGGGAGGAUUAGCUACUCAGCUUAUCAAUAUGUAUGAACAUGACAAUAGGAAAGAUUGUGGUAGUUUCUUGAAAUAUCCUUUAAUAACCUCACAAGGCCAGCCAAGGAAGGAUGCAUGGCAUCAGUGCAGCUGCAGAAAAAAACGCUAAAGCAUCAUAACAUGGGCAAGUAAUUUAUGAGGCUCUAGUCUCCUAAUUGUUUCAUCAAGGUGAUAAAUAAAUAAAUAGAUCAUCAGCAUCUGAAGAGCUGUAUGGCUUCCUUCUCUGCUUUCUAGAGAGAUUAAUCUUGCAGAGGUAGAAAGACAGUUUGCCACAAAAUCAUACUCAUAGGCUCAACAAAUGGAAUUUGGAUGUAAUUAUCAUUUUUUAAAAUGGUGAGCCACCAUCUACUUUUCUGCACAGCAAGACAGUGAAGUCAAGGAAAAUUACUCUGCAUUUAUUCUCUCCCUUAAAAUCUGUAGCAACUGAAUAAUAAGAGCUACUGCUUCAAGGUGUUCAAAUAUCCCAGGCUUCCCUCAUCUGCACAUACUGCUUCUGUGCUGGUGGCAGUGAAAGUCUUGCAACAUUCAGUCACACCUGCCUAUUCAUCAGGACAAAUUUCACUGUUUGGUGGCUACAUUACUCCCUCUCCCGCAGUACUUAGCUGGGCUUGGACUACGCAGUUAGUCCUCACCACAAAGAUUCAAGAUACUCAUGUGUUCUUGUUAUAAAAGGGGAUGGAUACAGAGAAAUAAGGGCUGUUUUACAGAAAUCCUAACUAAAACCCAACAUUAUCAGAGCUUUCCCUUCAGAAAACCUCUGCCGUUGGAACUCUUCCUCUAAAAUGAGUAAAAGUGCCAUUGAAUAUAGUCACUUACUCUUGAACGUGCACAGAAAACAUUACUGAGUGCUUCUCAUGCAACAAAGCAUACAUUUUGAAAAUCACAGAAAAAUAAGACAGCGAGCAGCUGAAGCUGUAAGGCUGAGGCAGAGAAAUGGAGGGAAAGAAAACACACUGAAGAAGAGGCAGAGUUACUACAGAAGGCCAACAGCUAAAGAUUCUUACUAGAGAAAAUAAAAAUCAGGUAGGCUCAGGUAGAGAGCCCUUUCCUUUCAUUUGCAAGGAAAAUCACAGCUUUUGAUAUGCAAAGAAUUAUAGAAUUUGAUAAGACUUGAAGGUGAGCUACCUAGAGCCAGCAGUUGCCCAGCUGGUUUGCCACAGGGCAAUUUUUGCUAAUUACAUAUCUCUCAUUCCCUGAUCAGUCCAUUCUUCCACCCAUUAUUGCCCUAGCAGCUACUGUGGGAUAUUCUCAGAUAGAACAAAUAAUUUCCUAUUUUGGUCAAAAACAAAGGUUAUUCAGCAAUAGAGGAAAGCAAGGUUUCUACCCAGCUGCCACAACGCAUUUCCAAGAGCUCGUCUUCCCCCCAAAAACCCACCUUUUACUCUGCAUGCCUCACCAUCCAAAAGCUGAUCUCCAGGUUAUGUCAUCUAAUACAUAGCAGCCACAGUUUUCCUCUCAAUCCCCUGUAUAAACUUAACCCAAUAAUUAGAAAGUAGGGGGAAAAAAAUGUCAAAUUUUCUUUUCUUGCUGAAAAAACACAUGCACGGAUGCUUCUUUCACCAAAUAUUUACACUGAGCCUUCAAUGACACCAUUCCUUUUAUCAAACUCUAAUUUUAAAAGCAUUUAGCACAGAGGAGUAAAUGUAGGUUUUCUACGUGGGGUUAAAAUCUUCAUAGGGGUUUAAAACCACUGCCUACACAGUGGGCUUUAGGUGCUCUGAUUUUUGCAAUAGUGCUCAAGCAUUGCUUCAAAAUGACUACUGAAAGCUGGGGGAAAUCAAAUAAUUCUGAUGUAUUAGCUGAAUUAUAAAGCAGUAACAGAGGGCACUGUAAUUGAAUGUAUGGAGAUGAUGAACAUUUGAACUCACACAGCAUAAGUCUUUUAUUUUAAAAUAAUCCAUAAACUGCUUUAGCAAUUCUCUAAAAGCAUAUAAAGAUACAGACAAUUCAUUUAAAAUGGCACUUUCAAUACAGUCUAAAAUCACAGAUUUUAAAAUGAUAAAAAAAUAUAUAUGUGUGAUACUAAAAAUAUUCAGUGCUUCUGAAUUAAAGCAUUUUUUCACUGGCUCUGCUAUAGUGAUUUCUGUUGCUUAUAUCUUGAUUUUCCUUGGGAAAUUGCAGCCAGAACUACUCCGAGCUCAUAGUUCUGGUCUAUUCAUAGAAUCAUAAAAUGGGUUGGGUUGGAAGGGACCUCAAGGAUCACCAAGCUCCAACCCCCCUGGCAGCAGGCAGGGCCUCCAACCUCCUCAUUUAAUACUAGACCAGGCUGCCCAGGGCCCCAUCCAACCUGGCCUAAACCUAUUCCCAGUGAAGAGGUUCAAAUAUGCGAAGGAAUCCUGUCUUUUAAAGAAUUGUUUUUGAUAGAAGGCUCUUAAAUGAACCAAUUAUCAGAGUGUAUUUCCUAUCUAAGCUGAAAUGCAAGAAGGCCCAGCUAGAAGUAAAACAGAUGUAGGAAAUCACUGUUGCAAAACUCAAUAUAAAACCUUAAGAAAAUUGGAGGAUUUGGCCAAAUCUCUUGAGUAGCGUGUUGGACCAGCGCAGCCUUACCAUUGGUAAUCCUAAGCUCCAAGUGUGUGCCUGAGUGGCCCGAUCAGGAUUCCCUGUGUGUGACAUGGGACACUGGGGACAUCCUCACUUCAUCUGUUGGGUGCUGAAGUUGGCCAGGAUCUUUUGCACUUUGCCUUGGUUGCGCUUACCACAAUGAGCUCAUUAGCUGCAUGCACAAAUCCCAGCAUGCGCAGCCACUCACCCAGCUCUGCCUGCUUUGUGUCCUGCAGGAAAUUCAGAAGGGAAUUGUUUCAAGAGGGUGUGCUGUGAUCGCUGUUUCUUCUGGUGUCACACUGAAAGGAAUACAAGAUUUUAGGCCAAGCCAUAAUGGUUGCAGUGGAGAGCUCCUGGAAGCGCAUGGUUUCUGCGUGCCGAUUUCUGCUGCCAUCAGACACAUGGUAAAUCCUGAAACUGCUGCAGGUUGGAAGCUGUCCCAGGCAGGGCACAAAAGGGAGACUGGGAAUCACAGGCUGGAAUCAAAACCCCUACAUUUAGUGACAAAUCUUGGACAGAAACUCAAGCCUCAGAAGACAGAGGAGCUCUGCUGGUAUUAUCUGGUAAUGUGAAGCUAACUACAGAUAAGAAGGCUCUCUGUGUCCAGAAAAGAAGCCAUUGGAUUGGAUUAUAUCAGACUGAGACAUGAAGGAUUAGUGAACAGGCAGCCUGACAGCACUGCUUUGUUUGUUACAUGCAUCCAAACCAGCGUGUUUGUAAAUGAAACGUGCAAUUUGGAGAUGAGUCAUUAAGGAUGGCUUUGGGGAUGUCUGGAUGCCCAGAGCUGGGGUUUUGACACCUGUGAACCUGUAAAGAUGCAAUUUUUCUUUUUCAAAUCCUUUGUAACAUCUUCCUUAAUCUUUUGCACAAUUCUCCUCCCAGACCUGGAAGUCUGAAUGGAAACGACAACUUGCUCCUCUUCUGGCUAACUAGGACCAGAGCACAGAAGUUUCCCAAGGGAAAAAAUGAUGAGCUGGCUUCCCCCACAUCUGUUCUGUUUGUCUCCAUUUUUGCUCUUUUACUGUCUAAUCUGCUCUACUGAACUGCCAAUCAUCUCCCGGGGAUGCUUUCUCUGCUUGACAGCCAGUAAGGCCAUCUGAUUUCAGGCCUCCCUGAGUGUGUGUGCUUGCAGGCCCUGGGGCUGAGAUGCACAGUCUGGAGGCUGGGCCUGGGCAGAAGGUGGCUGCUCAAAGAGUGCCCUGCAGUGAUUCCCACCUUCAUUACCACUGUGCAGCUGUUUCAGAGCUCAGAGAGGUUCAAGGAUAAUGGAGGAGCAUUGCCCUCCUUCUGCUGACCUAUUUCCCCACCUUGCUCAGCUCUGGAAGAGCUGGUGGCCAACUUGCCUCUGGCUCACCUCCAUCAACUCCAUUUAUUUCAGGAUGUUAGGUUGCUGCACGUGAAACUCUCAGUGAUGGAGAGAUCACAUGACUUUCCUUUACUCAGAGACAUGAUUUUAUCUUAUCAGCCACUGUGUCAGAUUUUCAUACUUUAUUCUAUAAUGGUGGGUGAGCGUGGGCCCCUACAGUUCCCAGAAUUCAGCAGCUUUAUAAGAAGAAAAUAACUGGACAGAACAAAUUCCCUUUAACUUCAGUGAAAAUGGGCCCAGACUGAUAAUUCUGAGGUAGAGAGAUUCGAAGCACCUAUUCUUUGCUGUUUUAUUUUUUAAAGUAUUUUAUUCUGAAGCAGCGGAUGUUACUUUCAUGGCAGGAAGCAUUAUAAGAACACUAAAAGGGUUAGGAACUUAGCUAGACCUGAGGAGAUUUAAAAGCCCUAUUCCUCUGUACAGCUCUAUCAUACCACAUUUCCUUCUCCAUCCCAUAAAACACUAACUUCUAUAAUUGCCUAAUUCUCGUACAUUUGCAAAGUAAUCAAUAGAAUGAAAAAGCUUCUGUUCAUGUGCCUCGGGAAUGCUGAUAUUACAUAAAAAUAGGUGCAAAUCAAACAUACGUCUCAAGCUCCUAAAGUGACAUGGAGCCACAUUCAAUUCCUGCACUACAAGCUACUGAGGCUACAAAAUGUAGUAGAAAUGCAGAGCACAAAGGAGAAGCAUGCCAGCCUCUUUAGAAAGCUGUGCCUAUCAUUGGCAAUGGCUGGUUGGCAUUCAUGUCUCUCAGUCCUUUGACUGAUUUGUUUCUGAGGUGUAACGGCUGCCUACGGGUUGUACCUACACUAGUGAAUCCAAUGUGACACACAGCCAGAACAUUGCAGUACACUGCUUCUUGUACUAAUAAAUAUUUAAGCAUGCAACCUAAGUGCUUCUUCAGCAUCAGUUCCUUCUCUGCUGCAAGUGACAUAUAACAACUAGCAAACCACUGUUUAAAAAGGAAAAUAAAAAAGGCCACUGACAAGCUUCUGAUGAUGGAUAAUGGAUGGAUCGUUUUUUGUUUGUAAAGUUUUGUUUUUGUUAAAUAAAGUUCCACGAGCCUUUUGUGUGUGGAGUUUGAUCCUGUGUGUGUACUUACAGGCUAACAAUAAGAAAAUGGAGAAAAAAGUUGGCUGCUGGCCACAGUUCGAGACUGUUAUUGAUGAAACCCAAGGGUAAUUUUGUGUAGGAAAGGGAAGAAAACUGUGUCAGCCUUUCAGCGAUGGAACACACUUCUCCCUCUCUCCCCAUUUGGUCUCACAAGAGAGACUUACCCAGUGCGGACCCCAGCGAUGCUCAUUAGCAGAAUGGCCUGGAUCCAAACAGCAGUGCCAAUCUAUUUUAUAAGCUUGCCUUGCCUCGUCAGUCCAGUGACUCUGGAAUGAGCAAUAACAGCUUUAGCAGAAAUCCUGAAAAUAAUAUUUAUAUAGCUACAUGACAAACAGGCAUGGGCAGAAUGCAUUUUAUAAAACAGUCAAUGUUAAUUGCUUCCAAGUAUCUAGAGAUUACUCUACCUGAAAAUAUUUUAAAAUUAGAGACAAAGAGAAGAAAAAUUCAGUCACUAUUCAAAAGAAAUUAAAAGGAGAGACAUACAUAAUGUCAGGAGUUGAUUUUAAAACUUCCUACUAGGCUGUGUUGGUUUUCCUGGCUGGAUAGUCCUCUGAUUGAGUCAAACAGGGCACAGAUUUGAGAUAAUUAA